GGAGGGCUGGCAGAGUGGUCGAUUGCACCGGUCUUGAAAACCGGCAUACCGCAAGGUAUCCAGGGUUCGAAUCCCUGGCCCUCCACCA
rnacentral:tRNA from 1 species